GGGCUCAAGUGAAAGCUCGGUUCGGUCUCUUUGGAGAUAGUGCUAAUCUUGAUGCAAGAUAGAUGUAUGGUUUGCAUGCAACAUACCAUAUUCUCAGAAAUCAAUUUUGACGCACCCGAUAGAACUCCUAGAUCAUGUGUGUCAUAUGAAAUCUUGCUUCAAUCUGUUUGGAGACAGUUUAGGUGCAAGAUUGGUGCAUGGUUUGCACAUAAUGCACCAUUGGCUCGGAAACCAUUAUGGAAGCACCCGAUAAUACUCCUAGGUUAAGAGGCUCAAGUGGAAGGUCGGUUCGAUCUGUUUGGAGAUAGUGCUAAUCUUGAUGAAAGAUAGGUGCACGAUUUUCAUGGAACAUACCAUAAGCUAAGAAAUCUAUUUGGAUGCAUCGCAAUAGAACUCCUAUAUGACAUGUGUCAUAUGGAAUCUCGCUUUGGUCUAUUUGGAGAUAGAGUUAGAUUUGGUGCAAGAAAGGUACA
rnacentral:lncRNA from 1 species